GGUUAAGUGACUAAGCGUACACGGUGGAUGCCUUGGCAGUCAGAGGCGAUGAAGGACGUAUUAACUUGCGAUAAGCCCAGAUUAGGUAGUAAAAACCGCUUGAGUCUGGGAUUUCCGAAUGGGGAAACCCACGUGCAUAAGCACGUAUCGUUAUGUGAAUACAUAGCAUAACGAGGCGAACCGGGGGAACUGAAACAUCUAAGUACCCCGAGGAAAAGAAAUCAACCGAGAUUCCGAAAGUAGCGGCGAGCGAAAUUGGACUAGCCCUUAAGCUAUUUAUGCGUCAGUGAAACUUCUGGAAAGUUGUGCGAUACAGGUGAUAGCCCCGUAACCGGCAACGCAUUUAUAGUGAAAUCGAGUACGCGGGACACGUGAUAUCCUGUCUGA
rnacentral:ncRNA from 1 species